GCGUCGGUGGUGCAACGGUUAAGCACUUGCUCAGAGCAAGAUCUGGGUUCGAAUCCCGGCUGACGCA